rnacentral:rRNA from 1 species
CCUACGGGAGGCAGCAGUGGGGAAUUUUGGACAAUGGACGCAAGUCUGAUCCAGCCAUGCCGCGUGCGGGAAGAAGGCCUUCGGGUUGUAAACCGCUUUUGUCAGGGAAGAAAAGGUUCUGGUUAAUACCUGGGACUCAUGACGGUACCUGAAGAAUAAGCACCGGCUAACUACGUGCCAGCAGCCGCGGUAAUACGUAGGGUGCAAGCGUUAAUCGGAAUUACUGGGCGUAAAGCGUGCGCAGGCGGUUAUGCAAGACAGAGGUGAAAUCCCCGGGCUCAACCUGGGAACUGCCUUUGUGACUGCAUAGCUAGAGUACGGUAGAGGGGGAUGGAAUUCCGCGUGUAGCAGUGAAAUGCGUAGAUAUGCGGAGGAACACCGAUGGCGAAGGCAAUCCCCUGGACCUGUACUGACGCUCAUGCACGAAAGCGUGGGGAGCAAACAGGAUUAGAUACCCUGGUAGUCCACGCCCUAAACGAUGUCAACUGGUUGUUGGGAGGGUUUCUUCUCAGUAACGUAGCUAACGCGUGAAGUUGACCGCCUGGGGAGGUACGGCCGCGAGUAGAACGACAAUAGAGUAGAGGCGUGAGACGUGACGACGGACGACGACGAGGGAGGAGG